rnacentral:rRNA from 1 species
UACGUAGGGGGCAAGCGUUGUCCGGAUUUAUUGGGCGUAAAGAGCGUGUAGGCGGCUAGGUAGGUCCGUUGUGAAAACUCGAGGCUCAACCUCGAGACGCCGGUGGAAACCAUCUAGCUAGAGUCCGGAAGAGGAGAGUGGAAUUCCUGGUGUAGCGGUGAAAUGCGCAGAUAUCAGGAGGAACACCGAUGGCGAAGGCAGGUCUCUGGGCCACUACUGACGCUGAGAAGCGAAAGCAUGGGGAGCGAACAGG